GGGCCACUUGUAUGUGACUGUUUGUGUGGUGGAGACAACAGAUCACUUGGUUGUGAUUAUUUGUUGCUACUUUUGGUUGUGUGUUGUAGCAGAUCAGGUAAUCAUUUUGGGUUUGUGACUGUUGUGCUCCUUUGUGUUGGUCACAUGUUACUUUUUGUCUGUUCAGUGUGGCAACUUCAAAUCCUCAUGCCCAUCCAUGCUUAGAGAUGCCAACUAUAACGUGAACACUGUGCUUCUGUUAGCUUUAACUUUUAUUCCAGGUUUGUGGGUCAAGGAACUGAAGGCUUCAGAGGGGCUUUUAAUAAAUUUAAGGGUCCUAGAGGAACCCUUUUAAGGGAGGAGGUGUUACGUCCCUCUGCAGCUUUUAAUCGUCUCAGUGUUUUCAGCUGGUGCUAAUUGGCCACACCUAGUCAGGUGUGGAUAAAAGCAUACCUGAGGCAAGCUUUCCGGCAGUGCACUAGUCUUUGCCUUGGUGGCACCAGCCAUUUUAGCCAACCUGGUUUUCCAUUUUAGGAUGAAACUUCUUCUCACCCACACUCUGUUAUUCAUCUCCUUUUUUUUUUUUUUUUUUAAUGUUGCGGCUUUUGAGCCGGGUCGUAACAUAAGUGUUUUUUUUUUUUGUUUUUUUUUUUUUUUGUUUUUUUUUGUGGGUCAACACAAAUUAUUUUAUUAAAACACAUAUGUGGUGAAGGCUCUGCAAAACAUCAGGCUCCAUCUCCCGCCUGACAAUAGGUGGGGUGUAAUAUUUAUACAACGUUUUGAGGACUGUCAAUAGAAGUCAUUCUGAAUCACCACCUGCUGUCAGUCACAGCUUGCUUUGGGUGUUUCUACCACACACACUCCACAGAUGUGUGGACAACUGCAAACAGGGUCAGCGUGCCAGAAAGCACAAUGAAGUUUUGAUUCUGGGUAGAGGCGUGGUUCUGAUGACAUUCCUGCACUGUCCUGGUUUCUCUCGAGCCAUGCUGCUGCUAACUGUGCCUCUGAAUGCAGUUGCUGAAGUCAACCAGCAGCCAGCGCUGGAUCUCACCAGCCUCAGCCUGCUGCUGCUCACUCUGUCUC
ensembl:lncRNA